AACGAACGCUGGCGGCAUGCUUAACACAUGCAAGUUGAACGCAGAAUAGAGCUUCGGCUCUAUUGCUGAGUAGCAAACGGGUGAGUAACGCGUGGGAAUCUGCCUUCUUGUGGGGGAUAACUAAGGGAAACUUUAGCUAAUACCGCAUACGCCCUACGGAGGAAAGGCUUCGGCCGCAAGAAGAGGAGCCCGCGUCAGAUUAGGUAGUUGGUGGGGUAAAGCCUACCAAGCCGAUGAUCUGUAGCUGGUCUGAGAGGAUGAUCAGCCACACUGGGACUGAGACACGGCCCAGACUCCUACGGGAGGCAGCAGUGGGGAAUAUUGGACAAUGGGGGAGACCCUGAUCCAGCAAUGCCGCGUGAAUGAAGAAGGCCUUAGGGUUGUAAAGUUCUUUCACCUGUGAAGAUUAUGACGGUAGCAGGAGAAGAA
rnacentral:rRNA from 1 species